CAACGAAUAUUCCGCAAUGGGCGCAAGCCUGACGGAGCGACGCCGCGUGAAGGAUGAAGUCCUUCGGGAUGUAAACUUCGAUAGUUUGUCAGGAAGUGAGGCGACCUAAUACGUCGCCAAGUUGACCAGCAGACGAAAGGGACGGCUAACUCCGUGCCAGCAGCCGCGGUAAGACGGAGGUCCCUAGCGUUGUUCGGAAUUACUGGGCUUAAAGCGCGUGUAGGCGGAACGGUGAGUACCUUGUGAAAUCCCCGGUCUCAAGCCGGGAACUGCUCGGUAUACUAUCGUUCUUGAGGUAGGUAGGGGUCACUGGAACCUUAGGUGGAGCGGUGAAAUGCGUAGAUAUCUAAGGGAACGCCUGUGGCGAAAGCGGGUGACUGGGCCUAUCCUGACGCUGAGACGCGAAAGCGUAGGGAGCAAACG
rnacentral:rRNA from 1 species